CAGUGGUAGAUGAUGAAGAUAUAAAAAGACAAAUGGGUAAUUUGCGUCUGAUUCACAUUGAUGCUAUUCACCUUGGAGAACUGAUACUGCUG
rfam:Daucus carota subsp. sativus cultivar DH1 chromosome 7, whole genome shotgun sequence.